rnacentral:rRNA from 1 species
GCGCAGUGGGGAUAUUGCACAAUGGGCGCAAGCCUGAUGCAGCGACGCCGCGUGAGGGAUGACGGCCUUCGGGUUGUAAACCUCUUUCAGUAGGGAAGAAGCGAGAGUGACGGUACCUGCAGAAGAAGCGCCGGCUAACUACGUGCCAGCAGCCGCGGUAAUACGUAGGGCGCAAGCGUUAUCCGGAUUUAUUGGGCGUAAAGAGCUCGUAGGCGGUUUGUCGCGUCUGCCGUGAAAGUCCGAGGCUCAACCUCGGAUCUGCGGUGGGUACGGGCAGACUAGAGUGAUGUAGGGGAGACUGGAAUUCCUGGUGUAGCGGUGAAAUGCGCAGAUAUCAGGAGGAACACCGAUGGCGAAGGCAGGUCUCUGGGCAUUUACUGACGCUGAGGAGCGAAAGCAUGGGGAGCGAACAGGAUUAGAUACCCUGGUAGUCCAUGCCGUAAACGUUGGGCACUAGGUGUGGGGGACAUUCCACGUUUUCCGCGCCGUAGCUAACGCAUUAAGUGCCCCGCCUGGGGAGUACGGCCGCAAGGCUAAAACUCAAAGGAAUUGACGGGG